CACCCUAGUCAUGAUCAUAAUUGUGUCUUAGUCGUUUUUAAAUUUACUAUUUUACUAUAUGAUAUUAUAAUUCGUAUUAAUUAGUUAGAUUAAUGAAUACAAUACCGUUCAUAAAACCCACCAUAUUUUGUAGAGAUGUUGUCAUGGCAAUUGGUGAAGUAUGAUACUCGAGUUGAUGGUAAAGUAAGACUCGUUUUGGCGUUUUUACGUUGCUUCUAAGUGACUCUCUAAUUGAAUACUGUUUUCUUACAAGCUGACACACAAUAGAACGAAUCUCAUCAUGCCACAUAGAGACCUUCCGAAGUUUAACUGUAACCAUAGACUUCCAGAACCAAAGUCUAUUUAUAUUUCAACAUCCAAUUCUUCUUAACUUAUCUGCUUUACAUAGGCUUUCUUUAUUCACAAGAGACCAGAUCUGGAAUUCCAUGUGAUUGAUUCAAGUGAGCUGCUUUUCCUAGUUGACUCUUGUAGCUGUCCUUUUCGUAAACACUUCAAAUGUACAAUUACAGAUCGAUCAGCUAUGUAGUUGCCCUAUGCAAAUUAUCAUUGUGACAUGUGAAAAUUGCA